rnacentral:rRNA from 1 species
AGAGUUUUAUUUUGGCUCAGGAUGAACGCCGGCGGUGUGCCUAAUACAUGCAAGUCGUACGCACUGGCCCAACUGAUUGAUGGUGCUUGCACCUGAUUGACGUUGGAUCACCAGUGAGUGGCGGACGGGUGAGUAACACGUAGGUAACCUGCCCCGGAGCGGGGGAUAACAUUUGGAAACAGAUGCUAAUACCGCAUAACAACAAAAGCCACAUGGCUUUUGUUUGAAAGAUGGCUUUGGCUAUCACUCUGGGAUGGACCUGCGGUGCAUUAGCUAGUUGGUAAGGUAACGGCUUACCAAGGCGAUGAUGCAUAGCCGAGUUGAGAGACUGAUCGGCCACAAUGGAACUGAGACACGGUCCAUACUCCUACGGGAGGCAGCAGUAGGGAAUCUUCCACAAUGGGCGCAAGCCUGAUGGAGCAACACCGCGUGAGUGAAGAAGGGUUUCUGCUCGUAAAGCUCUGUUGUUGGAGAAGAACGUGCGUGAGAGUAACUGUUCACGCAGUGACGGUAUCCAACCAGAAAGUCACGGCUAACUACGUGCCAGCAGCCGCGGUAAUACGUAGGUGGCAAGCGUUAUCCGGAUUUAUUGGGCGUAAAGCGAGCGCAGGCGGUCGCUUAGGUCUGAUGUGAAAGCCUUCGGCUUAACCGAAGAAGUGCAUCGGAAACCGGGCGACUUGAGUGCAGAAGAGGACAGUGGAACUCCAUGUGUAGCGGUGGAAUGCGUAGAUAUAUGGAAGAACACCAGUGGCGAAGGCGGCUGUCUGGUCUGCAACUGACGCUGAGGCUCGAGAGCAUGGGUAGCGAACAGGAUUAGAUACCCUGGUAGUCCAUGCCGUAAACGAU